UACAGAGGGGGCAAGCGUUAUUCGGAAUUAUUGGGCGUAAAGAGCGCGCAGGCGGUCGUACAAGUCGCGUGUGAAAGCCCCCGGCUCAACUGGGGAGGGUCACGCGAUACUGUUCGACUCGAAGGCAGGAGAGGGUAGUGGAAUUCCCGGUGUAGUGGUGAAAUGCGUAGAUAUCGGGAGGAACACCAGUGGCGAAGGCGACUACCUGGCCUGUUCUUGACGCUGAGGCGCGAAAGCUAGGGUAGCAAACGGG
rnacentral:rRNA from 1 species